CUCGAGUCCAGCGGGCUCGGGCACUGCUUUGACAGUCACACCUCCCGUCUCCUGGAUUGGGAAUCGGACCCUAGUCCUGACCCUAUGGGAACUUGAUGAUUUCCUUGAUGCAACACCAAGCCCCUGGAAUUGAAAGGGACGUGCAAAGGCAGGGACCUGCCCCCAGGGGUUUGCAGUCUCAGCCGCCUACUUCUGCAGUAGUAAGGUCUGCUCUGUUGGUACAACAUACAACACAACCGCCCGCCGUUAGCCACUUUUUUUAUAGGGUACAUCAUAAAUCACCUGAGAUUUUAGUCUGUCCGCGGUUCCACUUUAUAACUCCUGCACUGCGGUAGAUCUUGAUGUGGAAGAAAUGGAGGACUCAGAACCAAGGAUUUCCAAGUGAUUUCUUCCAAAGCACAGGAAUCUCACUCUGUUAAAGCUGGUCUGUUCUAACUGAGAUGACAGUCAUGUCCCUUUCCAGGGACCUCAAGGACGACUUUCACAGUGACACGGUACUCUCCAUCUUAAAUGAGCAGCGCAUUCGGGGCAUUUUAUGCGAUGUCACUAUCAUUGUGGAAGAUACCAAAUUUAAAGCCCAUAGCAAUGUUCUGGCAGCUUCAAGCCUGUAUUUUAAAAAUAUCUUUUGGAGCCAUACAAUCUGUAUUUC
rnacentral:lncRNA from 1 species